CUAAGAAUAUUCCGCAAUGGACGGAAGUCUGACGGAGCGACGCCGCGUGGAUGACGAAGGCCGAAAGGUUGUAAAGUCCUUUUGCUGGGGAAGAAUAACCGCAGGAGGGAAUGCCUGUGGGAUGACAAGAACCGGCGAAUAAGCCCCGGCCAACUACGUGCCAGCAGCCGCGGUAACACGUAGGGGGCGAGCGUUGUUCGGAAUUACUGGGCGUAAAGGGCAUGUAGGCGGCUUGGAAAGCCUGGCGUGAAAGUCUGCAGCUUAACUGCAGGGGUGCGCUGGGAACUGCUGAGCUUGAGUGACGGAGAGGGAGCUGGAAUUCCUGGUGUAGGGGUGAAAUCUGUAGAUAUCAGGAAGAACACCGAUGGCGAAGGCAAGCUCCUGGCCGAUGACUGACGCUGAGGUGCGAAAGUGUGGGGAUCAAACAGGAUUAGAUACCCUGGUAGUCCACACAGUCAACGAUGUGCACUAGGUGCUGGGGCGGUAGCUUCGGUGCCGGAGCGAACGUGAUAAGUGCACCGCCUGGGGAGUAUGCUCGCAAGGGUGAAACUCAAAGGAAGUUGACGGGGGUC
rnacentral:rRNA from 1 species